GGAUCUUAAUGCAGGUCAUGGGAUCAUGGAUAAAGAAAGAAUUGAUGAAAAAUUGCCUAUAGGAUUGAGACAACUUUCAGUUCCCAGUUCGCAACCGUUUGCUGAUGAGCAGGUCAAGAUGUUUCAGAUAGGUGGUACACACAAGAGAAAAGAACCUGACAGUGGCUUAGAUGGUGCCGAUAGGUUUAACUACAAACAACAAUGAGUGAGGGCA
rnacentral:misc_RNA from 1 species